rnacentral:rRNA from 1 species
GACGAACGCUGGCGGCGUGCUUAACACAUGCAAGUCGAACGGAAAGGCCCUGCUUGCAGGGUACUCGAGUGGCGAACGGGUGAGUAACACGUGGGUGAUCUGCCCUGCACUUCGGGAUAAGCCUGGGAAACUGGGUCUAAUACCGGAUAGGAGCCAUUUUUAGUGUGAUGGUUGGAAAGUUUUUUCGGUGUAGGAUGAGCUCGCGGCCUAUCAGCUUGUUGGUGGGGUAAUGGCCUACCAAGGCGGCGACGGGUAGCCGGCCUGAGAGGGUGGACGGCCACAUUGGGACUGAGAUACGGCCCAGACUCCUACGGGAGGCAGCAGUGGGGAAUAUGGCACAAUGGGCGCAAGCCUGAUGCAGCGACGCCGCGUGGGGGAUGACGGCCUUCGGGUUGUAAACUCCUUUCGCUAGGGACGAAGCUUUUUGUGACGGUACCUAGAUAAGAAGCACCGGCUAACUACGUG